CAACAAACUAGCUUGACGAAGCGAAAAGCACAAGCCUUAGUGCCUGUUUGUUGUUUUGUUAAUAAGGC
ncrna:unclassified sequences int-alpA RNA